rnacentral:lncRNA from 1 species
AUGGAAAAACAAAAAAAAUCAAAAUCUAAUGAAAAUUACAAAGAUAUGGUUGAUUGCUACUACUUGUUAUUAAGAAAGUAUAAAAAAAAAAGCACUUAUGUGAUCGAUGAAUUUUUAAUAAAGGAAAACAAAGAGAGUACUGGGACUUUAACAAUUUAUGAAGACGUUAAUUCGGAUCCAUUUUUUUUUUUAAUUUUGUCUAUAAUUGAUUCUAAAUACGAUAAAAUUAACAAAAUUAACAUUCUAAACGUACAAAAUGCUAAUGAUUUAUUAAAAGCGAUUUGUUUUUAUAUGGACAACAUUGAAAUUGAUGAGCUUUUAAAAAAAAACACAAAAAAUGCAAAAAAACAAAUUAUUAAUAAAACAAUAAACAAUAAAAGUAGUUUAACAAACAAACAAAAGGAAUCUGAAAAAAAAAAUGAUAAUAAAAUAUUAAGUAAAAUCAAGAAAUCCUCAUGUAAUAUAAAGUCUUUGAGUAUAUUUAAUAGCAACAUAGAUACAACUGGCAUAAUUUUUCUUUCUAAGAGUUUAUACGAUAAUGGAUACGCAAAAUUAGAAAAUCUAUCUAUAGAUUGCAUUAAUUUAAUCACUGAUGAUAUAAAAUAUUUAUCUUUGUCAUUGUGCAACUACAACGCAUUAAAAACUCUAAGUCUUCAAUAUUGCAACAUAAAUAAUGAUUCUAUUAGAUACAUAAUUGAUAUAAUCAUAUAUGUGAACUCUUCUUUAUUAACAUUGAAUUUAUGUGGAAAUCAUUUUAACGCACAAGGAAUAAGUAGACUUUUUGAAAGUUUUUUAUUAAACAAAUCUUUAAAAAGCAUUGACGUUUCUUACAACAUGUUUCAUUCCGAUGAAUCUUUUGUUGAAGCAUUUAAAAAAUUAGUUGCUAACUCAACAAAUAUUUCUACCUUAUCACUAGUUGGAAAUUUCUUAGAUAACAAUUGUUUAUCUAAAAUAAAUGAAGCCAUGAGUUCUAACAAAUCAAUCUCAAUUUUAAGAUUACCUUUAGAGUAAACAUGACUAUGUUCUGUUUAAAUAAAAAAUAUAUAUAUAUAUAUAUAUAUAUAUAU